rnacentral:SRP_RNA from 1 species
GGGGGUCGGCGGCGGACGGGCGCCUCGCCAACCCGGUCAGAUCCGGAAGGAAGCAGCCGCAACGAGUUUACGCUCGGGUCGUUCAGUCGGCCUCCCAC